GACAGAGGGUGCAAGCGUUAUCCGGAUUCAUUGGGUUUAAAGGGAGCGUAGGUGGACUGAUAAGUCAGUGGUGAAAUCUUUGGGCUUAACCCAAAAAUUGCCAUUGAUACUGUUGGUCUUGAGUAUAGUUGCCGUUGGCGGAAUAUGACAUGUAGUGGUGAAAUACAUAGAGAUGUCAUAGAACACCGAUUGCGAAGGCAGCUGACGAAACUAUAACUGACACUGAGGCUCGAAAGUGUGGGGAUCAAACAGG
rnacentral:rRNA from 1 species